rnacentral:rRNA from 1 species
GUGGGGAAUAUUGGACAAUGGGCGAAAGCCUGAUCCAGCAAUGCCGCGUGAGUGAUGAAGGCCUUAGGGUUGUAAAGCUCUUUUACCCGGGAUGAUAAUUACAGUACCGGGAGAAUAAGCUCCGGCUAACUCCGUGCCAGCAGCCGCGGUAAUACGGAGGGAGCUAGCGUUGUUCGGAAUUACUGGGCGUAAAGCGCACGUAGGCGGCUUUGUAAGUUAGAGGUGAAAGCCUGGAGCUUAACUCCAGAACUGCCUUUAAGACUGCAUCGCUUGAAUCCAGGAGAGGUGAGUGGAAUUCCGAGUGUAGAGGUGAAAUUCGUAGAUAUUCGGAAGAACACCAGUGGCGAAGGCGGCUCACUGGACUGGUAUUGACGCUGAGGUGCGAAAGCGUGGGGAGCAAACAGGAUUAGAAACCCGGGUAGUCC